GGGGAUGUAGCUCAAUUGGUAGAGCAUUAUGAUAACGCUUUCUAAAGGUUCGGGGUUCAACUCCUCGCAUCUCCA
rfam:Setaria italica strain Yugu1 chromosome VIII, whole genome shotgun sequence.